GCAAGUCGAACGGUAACAGAGAAGUGCUUGCACUUUUGCUGACGAGUGGCGGACGGGUGAGUAAUGCUUGGGAAUAUGCCUUAUGGUGGGGGACAACAGUUGGAAACGACUGCUAAUACCGCAUAAUAUCUUCGGAUCAAAGUGGGGGACCUUCGGGCCUUGCGCGUAAAGAUUAGCCCAAGUGGGAUUAGCUAGUUGGUAAGGUAAUGGCUUACCAAGGCGACGAUCCCUAGCUGGUCUUAGAGGAUGACC
rnacentral:rRNA from 1 species